UGUUUAUACCUGUGGGCAUGUCCAGAGGGUAGUGAAUGACUUGCAUUCAUGAGAACAGCAUUCAGAAAUUCAUGGUUGCCAAGAUGAUGCCAGCUAAAAAAUAGGAGAAGAGUGAAGACUCCCUUUAAAGUUGAAUCUGGAGGGAGGGACAGAGACAUGAGAGAAGCAUUAAGAGAAGAGCAAGAAUGUAGAAAACAACACACUGGAACCUUAAAGAGGAAGCAGGAAGAGGUCUCAAUGGAGAAAAGAGAGAAAAGGAGCAUUAAGGAUAAACUUUUGGCACCUUCUCAUUUUGCCUGGGGCUUUCCUUGAAUUUGUUAGAUAUGCUUUGUCUAGUAUGGUAUCCGUUAGAUGUAUGGGACUAGUGAGCACUAGCAAUGAAACUAAUAUAGAUUGAGAUGUGCUACAAGUAUAAAAUGCAUAUUGGAUUUUGAAGACUCAAGAUGAAAAAAGACUGCAAAAUAUGUUAAUAUUUUUAUUUUGGUUACAUGGUGAAUGAUAAUAUUUAGAUACAUUGGCGUAAUAUUUAGAUACAUUGGCUUAAAUAAAUGAUAAUAU